rnacentral:lncRNA from 1 species
GAAACUGAGACUUCGGUUUGUUUUCCUUUGUUUAGAGUCCUAUUGUCACGAACCUCCUUCCAUUGAUGAAAUUGGGGGGCCUUAGUGUCCCCAUUCUGUCUCCAACCAUCUUUUACCAAAGCAUGAUGUGCAGCUGAAUCAAUUCGACCAACACCCUCCUUCGAGACUGCAUUAUUGUGCGCUAUUACUCCUUUGGCAACUUUUUUACCAUUUAAAAAGUCCCUAGCAUCCCCUUGAAGUUUGACAACCUCAUCCUCCUCUAGUCCAUAUUUUUCAGUUUUAAAUCUGCAAAUCUUCUCGUCG